rnacentral:rRNA from 1 species
GAUGAACGCUAGCGGGAGGCUUAACACAUGCAAGUCGAGGGGUAAAUGGUAGCAAUACUAUGAGACCGGCGGACGGGUGCGUAACGCGUAUGCAACAUACCUUGUGCAGGGGGAUAGCCCGUGGAAACGCGGAUUAAUAUUCCAUAGUCCAGCUAUAUCGCAUGGUAUAGUUGGUAAAGAUUUAUCGGCACAAGUUUGGCAUGCGUCUGAUUAGCUUGUUGGUAGGGUAACGGCCUACCAAGGCUACGAUCAGUAGGGGUUCUGAGAGGAUUAACCCCCACACUGGUACUGAGACACGGACCAGACUCCGUACGGGAGGCAGCAGUGAGGAAUAUUGGUCAAUGGGCGGAAGCCUGAACCAGCCAUCCCGCGUGAAGGAAGACAGCCUUAACGGGUUGUAAACUUUCUUUUCUGUCAGAAAGAAUAAGCUUGUCGAGACGAGUGAUGCCGGUAUGACAGGAAUAAGCAUCGGCUAACUCCGUAGCCAGCAGCCGGACGGUAAAA